GAUCCUGGCUCAGGACGAACGCUGGCGGCGCGCCUAACACAUGCAAGUCGAACGAGAGAGAAGGAGCUUGCUUCUUCGAUCGAGUGGCGAACGGGUGAGUAACGCGUGAGGAACCUGCCUCAAAGAGGGGGACAACAGUUGGAAACGACUGCUAAUACCGCAAUAACGCCCGACGGGGUCGGCAUCGACCUGGAAGGGGAAAAGGAGCAACUCCGUCUUUGAGAUCGGCCUCGCGUCCGAUUAGCUAGUUGG
rnacentral:rRNA from 1 species